UACGUAGGGUGCGAGCGUUGUCCGGAAUUACUGGGCGUAAAGAGCUCGUAGGUGGUUUGUCGCGUUGUUCGUGAAAUCUCACGGCUUAACUGGGAGAGGUCGUUGAAGACUGGCAGACCUGAGGCGAUGAGAGGGGUGUAGAAUUCCCGGUGUAGUGGUGGAAUGCGUAGAUAUCGGGGGGAAUACCAGUGGCGAAAGCGGCACCCUAGCGUUAGCCUGACGCUCAUGUGCGAAAGCGUGGGGAGCGAACGGG
rnacentral:rRNA from 1 species